rnacentral:rRNA from 1 species
CCCGCGGACUUGUACAUACUCCCGGGGAGGAUGUGCGGGUCGUGGCCUCGUUGCCUCGCCUUCCAUUUUCCCCCUGCGAGCAGAUGCGCGCGGGUCUUCCGGGCAACGCGUUUCGUCUGCUCGUCAAACAACGAACCCCGGCGCAAAACGCGCCAAGGAAAAAUUGAACAAAGAGCGCACGUCCCUGCCCGUUUUCCGGGUGGUGUCGGCGUACGCAAUCUUUCAUGUAACCAAACGACUCUCGGCAACGGAUAUCUCGGCUCUUGCAUCGAUGAAGAACGUAGCGAAAUGCGAUACUUGGUGUGAAUUGCAGAAUCCCGUGAACCAUCGAGUCUUUGAACGCAAGUUGCGCCUGAAGCCAUUAGGUUGAAGGCACGUCUGCCUGGGCGUCACGCAUUGCGUCACCCACUCCCCCGUGCCUGAGCGGGCAUGUCGGUGCGUGGGCGGAUAUUGGCCCCCCGUUCACAUCCGUGCUCGGUCGGCCUAAAAAGCGGGUCCCCAAUGACGGACAUCACGACGAGUGGUGGUUGCCAAACCGUCGCGUCGCGUCGUGCGUGCCAUCGUUUGUUGCGGG